rnacentral:rRNA from 1 species
UACGGAGGAUCCAAGCGUUAUCCGGAUUUAUUGGGUUUAAAGGGUGCGUAGGCGGCCUUGUAAGUCAGGGGUGAAAGACGGUAGCUCAACUAUCGCAGUGCCCUUGAUACUGCAGGGCUUGAAUACACUAGAGGUAGGCGGAAUGUGGCAAGUAGCGGUGAAAUUCAUAGAUAUGCCGCAGAACACCGAUUGCGAAGGCAGCUUACUGGGGUGCAAUUGACGCUGAGGCACGAAAGCGUGGGGAUCAAACAGG